UAUCUGGAAUGUAGCUGCGGCUAGUAUAAACAAUGUGGAUUAUCUUUGACAAAACACGUUUAAAAGUGUAUUUUUUAGCAGGACAAUUUAAGAUGUAUCACGUUGCUGAUAAAAAGCCGCUGGGUAAUGUUCUAAACCGAUUUUCUGCUUAAAAUAAUCCGAUUUGUAUAGGAGUCGGUGGCUAACGGUUAGCUUGUCAGACUAACUGCUAGCUUGAAGACGGAAACACGUUUUUAUUUCAGCUAAAAGUGUGUUUUUAUGCGGGAAAUUAUGGUACUUGGACAGGAAAGGGAGUUCAAGAUCAGUCUAAGAGGGUUUACUGACAUGGAACAACAGGAGAACAAGGAGAAACUGGGCUAAUAUUGCUAAUGUUACCCAAACUGCCAGCAACCGGAAAUCAGCCGAACAGAGGCCAGAGAGGCGGAGUCGCAGCGCCACAGACUGAGAAGAGAGAAUAAUCAGACAGUAAAUGAGGAGAUCUGUAUCUGCUGCUGCUGCUGCUCUGCAUGCUGAUGGGAGACGUGUUUGUUCUCCUGCUUUCCGCCUGUGAGGCGGAGAGCCAGCGGAUAAAAGGGAAGCUCAGCAGAAUCCCAAUCACAGGUUGAUACAGACCGGAGGAGACGGAGCGCCUGCCAGCGAGGAAUUCAGUUUACUGAGGCGUCACCAACUGCAAUAAAGUGAAAUGAAAAGAGGAACCGACCGAAUCUCAACAUGAAAUCUCACAGGAUGAAUGUCCUGCCCUCACUGUGGACACACAGAUUUACCCUUUUAGCUGCGCUAGAGAAUGAAGUGAUAUUCCACAAAGACAC